rnacentral:rRNA from 1 species
CGCGUAGGUGGUCCUGUAUGUCUACCGUGAAAGCGUACGGCUCAACCGUAUUUUGUCGGUAGAAACUGCAGGACUUGAGGCUGGGAGGGGCUGGUGGAAUUCCCUGUGUAGCGGUGAAAUGCGUAGAGAUGGGGGAGAACACUCGUGGCGAAGGCGGCCAGCUAGACCAGUUCUGACACUGAGGCGCGACAGCGUGGGGAGCAAACA